UAGGGAAUAUUAGAAAUGGACGAAAGUCUGAUCUAGCAACACCGCGUGUGCGAAGAAGGCCUUCGGGUCGUAAAGCACUUUUUGGAAGGAAUAGGAAGGAAUGUACUUCCAGAAUGAGUCUCGGCUGACUACGUGCCAGCAGCCGCGGCAACACGUAGGAGGCAAACGUUAUCCGGAUUUACUGGGCGUAAAGCGCGUGUAGGUGGUACUGUAAGUAGGGCGUGAAAGCUCCUGGCUCAACUGGGAGAGGCCGUUCUAAACUACAGAACUAGAGGAUGGUAGAGGGAGGUGGAAUUCCAGGUGUAGCGGUGGAAUGCGCAGAUAUCUGGAGGAACACCGGUGGCGAAGGCGGCCUCCUGGACCAUUCCUGACACUCAGACGCGAAAGCUAGGGUAGCAAACG
rnacentral:rRNA from 1 species